rnacentral:lncRNA from 1 species
AACGGUUCUGUGUUCCCAGGACUGCAGAAGGAGGCACAGAAGGCAAUAGGUGUGGAUUCUCUGAGCCUCUGGGUGCUGGGAAACCACCUGACACAGUUCCUCCUUUCAACCGGUUGCUCUGUCACUGCGUGCGUGUAAAAAGCUGUCUCUAGCAAAGUAGAACCCGGAUGCAAAAAUUUACUUAUUCUCUUCCCCAACCGAAGAAGUGCUUCCUCUGAAUUCCCCAUUUCUGUCCCCAUUUCAUUGAAUAAACCCUUCUCCUAGAUUCUGGUUCAGCAUUAUAUUUCAUGUACCACCCCG